CCUACGGGUGGCAGCAGUGAGGAAUAUUGGUCAAUGGGCGCGAGCCUGAACCAGCCAAGUAGCGUGAAGGAUGACUGCCUUACGGGUUGUAAACUUUUUCUAUAAAGGAAUAAAGUGCGGCACGUGUGCCUUUUUGCAUGUACUUUAUGAAUAAGGAUCGGCUAACUCCGUGCCAGCAGCCGCGGUAAUACGGAGGAUCCGGGUGUUAUCCGGAUUUAUUGGGUUUAAAGGGAGCGGAGAUGGGUGGUGAAGUUAGUUGUGAAAGUUUGGGGCUCAACCGUGAAAUUGCAUUUGAUACUGGCAGCCUUGAGUACAGUAGAGGUAGGCGGAAUUCGUGGUGUAGCGGUGAAAUGCUUAGAUAUCACGAAGAACUCCGAUUGCGAAGGCAGCUUACUAAACUGCCACUGACAUUGAUGCUCGAAAGUGUGGGUAUCAAACAGGAUUAGAUACCCUAGUAGUC
rnacentral:rRNA from 1 species